rnacentral:rRNA from 1 species
GAUGAACGCUGGCGGCGUGCCGAACACAUGCAAGUCGAGCGAUCUUCUUCGGAAGAGAGCGGCGGACGGGUGAGUAACGCGUGGGUAACCUGCCCUGUACACACGGAUAACAUACCGAAAGGUAUGCUAAUACGAGAUAAUAUACUUUUAUCGCAUGGUAGAAGUAUCAAAGCUCCGGCGGUACAGGAUGGACCCGCGUCUGAUUAGCUAGUUGGUAAGGUAACGGCUUACCAAGGCGACGAUCAGUAGCCGACCUGACAGGGUGAUCGGCCACAUUAGAACUGAGACACGGUCCAAACUACUACGUGAGGCAGCAGUGGGGAAUAUUGCACAAUGGGCGAAAGCCUGAUGCAGCAACGCCGCGUGGGCGAUGAAGGCCUUCGGGUCGUAAAGCUCUGUCCUCAAGGAAGAUAAUGACGGUACUUGAGGAGGAAGCCCCGGCUAACUACGUGCCAGCCGCCGCAGUAA